UACGUAGGGUGCAAGCGUUGUCCGGAAUUAUUGGGCGUAAAGAGCUCGUAGGCGGUUUGUCGCGUCUGCUGUGAAAACUCGGGGCUUAACUCCGGGCCUGCAGUGGGUACGGGCAGACUAGAGUGCGGUAGGGGAGACUGGAAUUCCUGGUGUAGCGGUGAAAUGCGCAGAUAUCAGGAGGAACACCGGUGGCGAAGGCGGGUCUCUGGGCCGUAACUGACGCUGACGAGCGAAAGCGUGGGGAGCGAACAGG
rnacentral:rRNA from 1 species